UACGAACCGUGCGAACGUUGUUCGGAAUCACUGGGCUUAAAGGGCGCGUAGGCGGGUUGUCAAGUCCGGGGUGAAAGCCCCCAGCUCAACUGGGGAAGUGCCUUGGAUACUGGGAACCUCGAGGGAGGUAGGGGCGUGCGGAACUUCCGGUGGAGCGGUGAAAUGCGUAGAUAUCGGAAGGAACACCGGUGGCGAAAGCGGCGCGCUGGACCUCUUCUGACGCUGAGGCGCGAAAGCCAGGGGAGCAAACGGG
rnacentral:rRNA from 1 species